rnacentral:rRNA from 1 species
GACGAACGCUGGCGGCGUGCUUAACACAUGCAAGUCGAACGGAAAGGCCCUGCUUGCAGGGUACUCGAGUGGCGAACGGGUGAGUAACACGUGGGUGAUCUGCCCUUCACUUCGGGAUAAGCCUGGGAAACUGGGUCUAAUACUGGAUAGGAGCCAUCUUUAGUGUGAUGGUUGGAAAGUUUUUUCGGUGUAGGAUGAGCUCGCGCGCUAUCUGCUUGUUGGUGGGGUAUUGUCAUACCAAGGCGGCGACGCGUAGGCGGCCUGAGAGGGUGUACGGCCACAUUGGGAGUGAGAUACGGCCCAGACUCCUACGGGGGGGAGCAGGGGGGAAUAGUGCACAAUGGGCGAAAGCCUGGUGCAGCGACGCCGCGGGGGGGAUGACGGCCUUCGGGUUGUAAACCCCUUUCGCUAGGGACGGAGCUUGUUGUGACGGUACCGAGAGAAGAAGCACCGGCUAACUACGUG